UAGUGUGGGGGAUAACGUUCGGAAACGGACGCUAAUACCGCAUACGUCCUACGGGAGAAAGCGGGGGAUCUUCGGACCUCGCGCCAUUAGAUGAGCCUAGGUCGGAUUAGCUAGUUGGUGAGGUAAUGGCUCACCAAGGCGACGAUCCGUAACUGGUCUGAGAGGAUGAUCAGUCACACUGGAACUGAGACACGGUCCAGACUCCUACGGGAGGCAGCAGUGGGGAAUAUUGGACAAUGGGCGAAAGCCUGAUCCAGCCAUGCCGCGUGUGUGAAGAAGGUCUUCGGAUUGUAAAGCACUUUAAGUUGGGAGGAAGGGUAGUAACCUAAUACGUUGCUACUUUGACGUUACCGACAGAAUAAGCACCGGCUAACUUCGUG
rnacentral:rRNA from 1 species